rnacentral:rRNA from 1 species
ACGGCUCAGUAACACGUGGCUAACCUGCCCUUGGGACGGGGACAACCCCGGGAAACUGGGGUUAAUCCCAGAUAGGUGAGAACUCCUGGAAUGGAUUUUCAUCGAAAAGGUGUUGAAGCAUGCUUUCAACGGCGUCCGAGGAUGGGACCGCGGCCGAUCAGGUUGUUGGUGAGGUAACGGCUCACCAAGCCUUUAACCGGUACGGGCCGUGAGAGCGGGAGCCCGGAGAUGGAAUCUGAGACAAAAUUCCAGGCCCUACGGGGCGCAGCAGUCGCGAAAACUCCGCAAUACGCGAAAGCGUGACGGGGCCAACCCGAGUGCCGUCCGCUGAGGAUGGCUUUUCCCCAGUGUAAUGAGCUGGAGGCAAUAAAAGGAGGGCAAGGAUGGUGUCAGCCGCCGCGGUAAAACCAACUCCUUGAGUGGUGAGGAUUAUUAUUGGGCUUAAAGCGUUCGUAGCUGGCCUGACUAGUCCCGCGUUAAAUCCAACGACCUAAUCGUUGGGCUGCGGGGGACACGGUCAGGCUUGGGGGCGGGAGAGGUUAGCGGUAUUCCCGGGGUAGGGGUAAAAUCUUAUAAUCCCGGGAGGACCACCAGUGGCGAAGGCUGCUAACCAGAACGCGCCCGACGGUGAGGGACGAAAGCUGGGGGAGCGAACCGGAUUAGAUACCCGGGUAGUCCCAGCCGUAAACGAUGCAGGCUAGCUGUUGGGAUGGCCACGAGCCAUUUCAGUGGCGCAGGGAAGCCGUUUAAGCCUGCCGCCUGGGAAGUAAGAUCGCAAGAUUGAAACUUAAAGGAAUUGGCGGGGGAG